rnacentral:rRNA from 1 species
UACGUAGGUGGCGAGCGUUGUUCGGAUUUAUUGGGCGUAAAGGGUCCGCAGGAGGUUUGUUAAAAUUGGGGUGAAAUCCCGGAGCUCAACUCCGGAACUGCCUUGAUGACUGACGAACUAGAGUGCUGGAGAGGUAAGCGGAAUACCAGGUGUAGCGGUGGAAUGCGUAGAUAUCUGGUAGAACACCGAAAGCGAAGGCAGCUUACUGGACAGCAACUGACUCUCAGGGACGAAAGCGUGGGGAGCAAAC